rnacentral:rRNA from 1 species
AAUCAACGCUGGCGGCGUGCCUAACACAUGCAAGUCGAACGCGAAAGGGGAGCAAUCCCUGAGUAGAGUGGCAAACGGGUGAGUAACACGUGGGUGACCUGCCUUCGAGUGGGGGAUAACGUUCCGAAAGGAACGCUAAUACCGCAUGACAUCCUGCUUUUGGAGAAGCGGAGAUCAAAGCUGGGGAUUCGCAAGAACCUAGCGCUUGAAGAGGGGCCCGCGCCUGAUUAGCUAGUUGGUGGGGUAACGGCUCACCAAGGCUUCGAUCAGUAUCCGGCCUGAGAGGGCGGACGGACACACUGGGACUGAGACACGGCCCAGACUCCUACGGGAGGCAGCAGUGGGGAAUUGUUCCGCAAUGGGCGCAAGCCUGACGACGCAACGCCGCGUGGAGGAUGAAGAUUUUCGGAUCGUAAACUCCUGUCGAGUGGGAAGAAUAGCUUCCCGGGCGAAUAUCCCGGAAGUUUGACCGGUACCACUAAAAGGAAGCCCCGGCUAACUCCGUGCCAGCA